UCCUCCCCAGUGCCCCGCAACACACCAACGCAGCUCCAUAUGCACUGGCACUGCACUGCACUGGCCAUGUCUGUCCUGCCCUUGCAGUCUUCUUGUUGUUGUUGUUUUCGAUGUCGUUGAUCGUGUCCCCGGUUCUCCUUCCUUCCUUGCGUUGCUGCCCCCCCGCUUGCUGAGCUCCUGUUUCCUUCUUACUCGUCUCGUUUCCUUUAAGCCUGCGAUCUCUACUGGUUCCAUUUGACUGGAGUAAUGCCUGUAUCCCUGGACCCGUUGGUUUCUGUUGUGCAAUGUGUUUUGGAAUUUUCUGCAAAUGUUGGGAAGGUUUUAGGUUUCUGAGCUUUUGUGAGGUGAUCGUCGUUGAGAUUUGUAGUGUGGUGAGUUGAGGUGGAAUUUGCAACGACUAGUGUUUUUCUUUUUCUUUCUUGUUUUGUUGUUGGAUCAUUGGCGGAUUUUAUUUUUAUUUUUGGUCUCGAUGAGCUUGAGGUAAGUGCCGCUGAGAUAGUGGAGCGUAAAUUUGCGAUCGGUGCAGAGGAUUUUUGUUUUGCGCGAAAUCAAGUAGGGCGCAGUGGUGUCUCCUUUUGUCAGGUGUGUGUAUUGGUGCCAAGAAUUAAGGCCGUAGUCAGAGAAACAUGAUAGACGCAUGAUUGGAUGGUUGCGUAGGAUCCGAGGGCGCAUUUUUAAGUAAAGAGCUCUUCAGUUGGCAUCUGAAGUGAAGAUUCACUUGCUUCCUUGGGACAAAGUACAGGUUUCAUAUGAGAAGCUUGCUCAUCUGUCGGUUGCGUCCAUACUUCUAGUGAUAUGCAGAUUUUGAGGCUGGAACGAAGUGCCUCUUGUGAUAGACGAUGAGUUUUCCUUACGUGGAAUUUGGACCUCGACAAUGCGUAAUUGGUCUCAACAAUGGGCGCUCGUAUUCCUUAAUUGGCAGUGUGCUGGAAUAGGGGUCUGAUGGAGUCGCUAUGAUAAUGGCCACGAGUUGAUGAUGGUGACCUAGGCGAGAUUGUGGAAUAUUGUAUUGAGACGGAUUAGCAGAGAAACCAUGGGGAUAGAUCAGGGAGGAUUUCAGCAGCAGCACUCUAUGAACAACGACAUGGAGCGAUUGGCAGGCGCUAUGCAAGCUGUGGAGCAGGCUUGUGCAGCACUUCAGAGCAUUCUCAAGUCGCCUCAGCAAGGUUUCAGGCGGCAGCGACAAUGCAGGAAGCAGCAAUCCGCGAAUGGGUCUUACUCACUGCAGAGGAAAGGAGUAACCUGCGCACAUACUAUCUGUACUAUGUGAUGGCGAGAGCUGAUGUUCCAGAAGCGUAUGUACAAAUGAAGGUUUUGUCAGUUGCUGCUGUGCUACUGAAAAGAGGCUGAAUCGCAGGUAUGUCGAAUUGAACCUUAUUCAGGUUGCAAGAGUUGAUGCAACCUUCUGUUCAGUUCAUCCCAGCUUUGUGGAGCUUAUGAGUUGGAGUCUGUUGCCACAGAAAAAAGAAUCCUUUUUCAAUGAGGCCAGGCACGCAGUUUUAGGAGCACAUGGGCCAGCUGCUCAAUGAUCGGGUAUAUCAUUUCUAGAAGCUUUGGUGUCAGAGUUCGCUCCUUCAACUGCCAGUGCCAUGGGCUUACCUGCAGAAGUUCACGAGUACUGCCGAGUGAACUGUUGGAUGGUUGCCGGUGCCUAGUGGCUAUUGCUAGUGUAAAUUCUCCAUCAGCUUUCGAUCAACUUCUCAAAGCUGUAUCUAGGAACAGAUGGGUAGAAACUUUGAGCUUAUUAGCUUCCCU